UACGGAGGGUGCAAGCGUUGUCCGGAUUUAUUGGGUUUAAAGGGUGCGUAGGUGGCCUUAUAAGUCAGUGGUGAAAGCCUGCAGCUUAACUGUAGGACUGCCAUUGAUACUGUAGGGCUUGAGUACUGAUGAGGUAGGCGGAAUUGAUAGUGUAGCGGUGAAAUGCGUAGAGAUGUGGAGGAACACCGAUGGCGAAGGCAGCCUUCUGGGCCAACACUGACGCUCAUGCACGAAAGCGUGGGGAGCAAACAGG
rnacentral:rRNA from 1 species